UUUAUAGCGAAGUGCUCUGGAUGUUAAGGUGAGUAAGUUCAACAAAGCGCGGUAAACGUCGGGGGUAAGUAUAACUCUACGGUAGUCAAAUGCCUCGUCAUCUUUAUAGUAAAUGAAUGGAUUAAU
rfam:Aspergillus oryzae RIB40 DNA, chromosome 4.